UACGUAGGUGGCAAGCGUUGUCCGGAAUCAUUGGGCGUAAAGCGCGCGCAGGUGGUUUCUUAAGUCUGAUGUGAAAGCCCACGGCUCAACCGUGGAGGGUCAUUGGAGACUGGGGAACUUGAGUGCAGAAGAGGAAAGUGGAAUUCCAAGUGUAGCGGUGAAAUGCGUAGAUAUUACCAGGAACACCAAUGGCGAAGGCAGCUUGCUGGGCCACCCCUGACGCUGAGGUACGAAAGCGUGGGGAGCGAACAGG
rnacentral:rRNA from 1 species